rnacentral:lncRNA from 10 species
GAGGGGCUGCAUCUGGGUGUAGACAGAGCUGAUGACAGCUUCAUUUUCCUUGUCAACAAAAUGGGGAUAAUCACAUCUACCUUGGAAUUGUUAUGAGGAUCACAUGGAGAAACACAAGUGAAAUGCUCUGUAGAUAUAAAGCAUGUAUCAACGAUGAUCUUUCUCCCUGUUUCUCCACAUACAUAGAGAUAAAGAGGUCCCAAUUACAAGGUGGGAGAACCUGGAACAAGAAGGGAAUGAUCUGUACCUUUAAAAAGAGAAAAGGGGAGAAAAGAUGGAUUUUCUGAAUCACAUUCUGUGAGGAAUUCAAAUCUCUUGGAAGAACAGGAGAGAUACCCUUUUCAUCAAGUGGCCUGAUGAGGGAAGGUCACCUGGCGUGGAGCAGAAGAACUAUGAUGGCCUGUGGAGGCCCGCAGUGUGCUUCGGGAGGGCUGCAUGCUGCAGCCUUUCCCUCUGCUUCCAUAUGACUCUUCCAGGAGAGAUGGGUAGCUGCUGACAUCUAAAAUUCUCAAAGUACAGAGGAGGAGUUCCU